rnacentral:sRNA from 1 species
GUCCCUGUAUACUAGAUUUCGUAGAGCAGUUAAGGCGGUGGCUAUUUCCGAUUGGGGGUGGUGCUCAUGGGAUAAUUCCUUUAGCACCCCAAAAUCCUAACGAAAGGAGUAGCCGUAGUGUCCGUUUCGGACGCGUUACAAUUAAUGCUAGCUUUCGGGACCUUUACCAUCGCCCUGAUUGCAU